UACGGAGGGGGCUAGCGUUGUUCGGAAUUACUGGGCGUAAAGCGCACGUAGGCGGAUAUUUAAGUCAGGGGUGAAAUCCCGGGGGCUCAACCCCGGAACUGCCUUUGAUACUGGGUAUCUGGAGGUCGAGAGAGCGAGUGGAAUUCCGAGUGUAGAGGUGAAAUUCGUAGAUUAUUCGGAGGAACACCAGUGGCGAAGGCGGCUCGCUGGCUCGAUACUGACGCUGAGGUGCGAAAGCGUGGGGAGCAAACAGG
rnacentral:rRNA from 1 species